UUAAAAAUCUUGCAUUGACUAAAUUUAUUAAAAUGGGUAAGUCCUCAUAUUUCUUAUUGUAUGUUGUUGAAAGGUUCAGAAGAUUUUGGUUAAAAAUUGUUUAUUGUUGAUUUAUUGCUGUUUAUAAAAGUUUCAGUUUUACAGGAAGAGAUGUUGAUAGCCCAUAAAAAUAUACUGGUUGAAAGAGAACUGAACGUCAAGUACUCAGAUUGGGGAGGAAGAAGGAAGGAAAUUGAGACUAGAGAAAUCAAAUCAAGAAAAUCAAAUUUUAAAGUAAGCUAACAUAAUCUCAAAGGAACUUCACGACAAAAUAAUCCAACUCUGAACCAACCUAAUUAAACAUCACAGUAACUAAACCUAAGAGUACUGCAACCACAAUGUGAGUCAACAUUAAAAGACUUAAGCCAACUCCAAACCAACUUAACCAGACGCCAAAGGAAAUGAACCCAACCUUAUAACAAGCCAACCGGAAAACACACCUACAUAAAUCUGUUCCUAAGAUUUUUUGGACAAAGGAGUCUCGUCUUUAAUGUCUUCAGCAUAAUAUUCAGUUUUAGUUUUAAAAGAAGAGGUGCUGAUAGCUGAUAAAAAUAUACUGAUUGAAACAGAACUCAACGUCAAGUACCCAGAUUGGGAAGGAAGUAUGAAGGAAAUAAAUUGAGUGCUUGGAUUAGAAAAUUUUUUUAAUAUUGCCAUACAAUCGAAUAAAAUCGACAUAGGUGAGAAAAAAUUCAACUUUAAAGCAAGCAAAAAAAAUUUCAAAGAAACUUCACGAUAAAAUGAUCCAAUUCUGAACCAACCUAAUUAAACAUCACAGCAACUAAACCUAAGACUGUUCCAACCACAAUAUCACCCAACAUUAAAGCAAGUCAAAAUAAUCAAGUCAACCCCACACAAAUGCAACUGAAACUUAAGCCAACUCCAAACCCACUUAAGACCUCAAAGGUAAUGAACCCAACCUUAUAACAAGCCAACGAAAAACACACGUACAUGAAUCUGCUCCUAAGAUUUUUCGGACAAAGAAGCUCUCGUCUUUAAUGUCUCCAACAUAAUAUUCAGGUAUCGAUCAGCUGAUGAUUGCUUUUGACAGUUGCAAACCAUUCGAAAACCGAUACACAUACAUUCUAAAAAAAUUUAUUAAAUUAAUUGUUAACACAUACAAUUUGUAAUGAAUACGCAACACAAAGAAACUUCCUUACCUCAAGUAAAAUAUCAUGUAAACUUAACUAUUUAUACAUCAUAUUUGGAAGUUUAUAUUAUCUUUUAGAGUAAAAACAUACACGGUGGCAAGAUAAAUUUUAUGAGCGUAAGCGUAGUGGUCAUAAAACCGAGUGACGGAAGGACAAGAGCUGUGACUGAAUAAAAGAUGGUUACGUUACACAAGUGGUUUUCUCGGACCAUAAGCCGGUGCCCGGAGCAGUCGGUGGUCAUAGACGACGAUCAUUAGAUCCGGAGGCCGGUAAGAAGUGAGAGGAUUCGCGAGAUAUCCGAGGUACCAGGAUGUUGUUAGAUGGACAAGAUUGAAGAGAAGAUACUGGAGGCAUCAUGUUGAAAGGAGGACUACCGCAUAAACGCUGGCAUGAGAGUUGUACGUGGUCAUCAUAAGAUAACAACCCAUAGGAACGGAAGUGGGAAGAGGAGAAAUGGAAAAAAUAGGGCUGGUCCCUAAAAUAAGAAGAAGAAGAGAAUUUCAUAUCUCAGUUGAGAUGUAAGAAUUUCUUUAAGAUAGUUAUUACUCAUUUCUGGGGAGUUUUGCCACGCUGAGUCUUUGGUGGGACUGCCAGAGUUAAUCUUUCUUAUAACGUUACUUGGAGGCUCCCAAUCACUUUUUUUGCUGGCAAGACGGGGAUUGCUCGAUUUUAAGAAGACGUGUUCAUUUAAAAUUAAUGCAAGCGAUACCUUUAAGGAUAGACCAAUCAGUCUGCUUCAAACAAGGACACUCAAGAAGCCAUCAAAUCCAGAGAUUAGUCGACUCGAUAGAGGUUGGUUUUGAAAAUAAAAUGUACAUAACAGCGCUGUUCCUGGAUAUCACGCAGGCUUUUGAAGUAUCUUGGAGUACACCCAGACACAAGACUGAGUUGAUAGGACAAUACAGGAUCACAGAGCCAAAAUCUGCAUUCUACGGUUGCUGAAUCUCCCAACCCUCUUAUAUCGAGCAUAACAAGCAUCAACGAAAUAUUUUGCUUCUUUAAGCAUUUAGGAUUAAACGCAGGAGGAAGGCUGCCUUUGGCCUGAUGUAUAUCCUUUAUAGAGGCGCCGAAGAGACUUUCGCGUUACGUAAGGUGGCGCAACUUGCCGACGAUUAUAAUCGGAUGCAAUGGAGUCGUUUGUUCGAUUUGUUCUCGGUGUCAGGUCGUAUGUCAGCUUCGGGAGAGAAUCGAACAUAGAAAAAUACGUUCAAAAUGGCGAUUCUAAUUGUUGCACGUCUAAUCAACGACGUUUUACAUUGCGCAAAACACUAUUUAACGCACACCAGAACAAAUAAUAUGUCAGACACAUCGGAGUAACAUUUUAAAGAAAAAAUUGAUUACUAAAUACAUAAUUGCAAUAAUUACAAUUUACUGUCUUUCAAUGUCUUGAAAUGUCUUUCAGAAAUUAUAUCUUAUUUAAGCUUUGACCCAAA
rnacentral:misc_RNA from 1 species